GUAUCAUGCUUUCCGUAGGUGACCUGCGUAGAUUCAUUA
rnacentral:rRNA from 1 species